ACCCCCAAUGCAAUAAAAAAAGGGCACAUUUGGUCCUAUUUUUAGAGAACCUUUUGGACAACCAAAGGUGAACUCGUAUCCAGUUCAUGCACAAGACAAAGCAAUGAUGUACGGUCUCCCACUCCGUGCUUUUCACUACUACAGUUUGGCAUGACACGCAUGACAUGAGUCAGCACAAGAAACAGCCCUGGAUGUAUAGUCCGUGCUUACAGUGUCUAGAGCACCAUACAAAUUCCUGCCAAAUCUGCUAUAGCAAUGCAUGCAGCACACAAAUGCUGACCUGGAUAUUUUUUCUUCAAACUUUAUCAUUUUGCCUUCAGGGUAUUUCAAUUCAAACACUGUUCAGAAAACCAUUACUCAGUACGCCACUCUCUGUGACGGGCCUCCCACAAAAGUCACAGCCAGCUGCAAUGAAGGAAGAGGAGACAACAGAAAAGGAAGCAAAGGGACAAUCUGUAAAGCAGAAAUAAGGGAAGGAGAAGACCCCAAAAUACUUCUCAGGGGCCUUGCUCCUCAGAGCUUUCUAUUCUAGGGUUCAUCUAAAUGGAGUCAGCAGACACCUCCCUGCACCCACAGCUUUGAUAAGCUCUCACAGUCUGGUAGCUUCAAUAAAGCAGAAACAAAGAGUGAGUUUGCCUUUAUUACGGCACUAUGUGGUACACCAUAAAUAACUGCUU